rnacentral:rRNA from 1 species
UUGGAGGGCAAGUCUGGUGCCAGCAGCCGCGGUAAUUCCAGCUCCAAUAGCGUAUAUUAAAGUUGCUGCAGUUAAAAAGCUCGUAGUUGAAUUUCGGGACCAUCAUGUCGGUCGUGCCUCGGUACGUACUGGCAUUGUUGGUUUCUCCCUUCUGACGAACCAUGAUGUCAUUUAUUUGGUGUUGCGGGAAAUCAGGACUGUUACUUUGAAAAAAUUAGAGUGUUUAAAGCAGGCUCACGCUUGAAUACAUUAGCAUGGAAUAAUGAAAUAGGACGUUUGAUUCUAUUUUGUUGGUUUCUAGGAUCGACGUAAUGAUUAAUAGGGAUAGUUGGGGGCAUUAGUAUUCAAUUGUCAGAGGUGAAAUUCUUGGAUUUAUUGAAGACUAACUACUGCGAAAGCAUUUGCCAAGGAUGUUUUCAUUAAUCAAGAACGAAAGUUAGGGGAUCGAAGACGAUCAGAUACCGUCGUAGUCUUAACCAUAAACUAUGCCGACUAGGGAUCGGAUGAUGUUAAUUUUUUAAUGACUCAUUCGGCGCCUUACGGGAAACCAAAGUGUUUGGGUUC